UAUUAUGUCAGUCGUUUUAGACGCUUAAAAUUUAACAUCGCAUACCAACAGGUUGAUAGGUAGAUUCCAUGAUAGUAGGUAUAUUAUAGUUAAUUCUGAAAUUUUCAAUCCUGAAAACCUUGUGCUACUAUCAUAGUCCAGGGGACUUGACAAUAUAAAUGCAUAUUAUACUCAUCAUCAUCAUCAUCAUAUACUCACGACUGUAAUGUCAUGCGAAUCAUCCGCUUUUCACUGUUCAUUUGUACUCAUGUGAUAGGUCGCGAGCCCUAUCGUCGUUUUUGAAUGUGGACAAUGCACUUAGGGUACACAAACACAUCUAGAAUCUAAAAUCAAUCUCAGUGCGCGAUUCCAACUCGGACUUGGCCGGUUUCGGUACGCAUACUCGCAUUCUUUGCCGUAACCCACACCUUACUCUUUAGUUGAUUAAGUUUGCUGAAUCGAUUUUUCGUUGUUUAAGAACUUCAACGGUCGGCUGAAUCAGGUGGCCAUCUUGGUAAACGAUGCUCUUCAUGUGACUCCACACAUAAAAAUCCGAUGGGGUCAAGUCCUGGCCAAUUUGGCCAUGGUAUAGCCCUUCCGCAAUCUUCAAAAUCAAGAACACGUUCCCUUCGUUUCACUGCAGUCGAGAAACUAUAACUUCUUCGGUACCAGAUACCAGGUUCUCAAAUAAUUAAACAUGUUUUUUUUUUAUUUUUACAAAAAAGUUGCUGCAUGCUGCUUGUAGACUUUACGCUUAGCACAGUGUGUGAGGGUGAUGUCAUCAAUCAAAUACCAUUCAGUCAGAUUCAUUCCUUCUAUCCAAUUUGACAUGCUGAUCUCCACAAAGUUUUUGGCAAGGGUCUUACUGACAAGGAAUCCUUCACCUCCUAGGGACGAUCCCGAUAGUUGCAAGGACAUGCACAUAUUUUCACUCUUCGUGGUCUUUUAAAGACCCUACAACUACAGAUGUCACAUUCACAGUAAUAUAUUUUCCAUCUUCUUCUGAUUGUGAGGAGAUUUGAAAGCUGAAGUAGCUGGUAUCAUAAUUCGUUUGUAAAAGCCAUAUUUCCACACGACCCAAGGAAUUUUGAUAUGCGAUAUUAUAUUUCCGAGUCGUUUGUUAAGAACUUUUAUUUACUUUAUAUUUUUUGUUAACAGGAAGACAAUGUCGUCAACGUAGAGAAGGCUGGCGAGGUGAGGGUUCUUCUGCCACCAACUCCAUUGCCUGCGUCUGCGUGAGACCGACAUCGUCAGUAUCCCUAUCACCUCUUCUAGUAUGCAGAGUUACCCCCCAGGGGCGGGUGCGAGGGGCGAGGAUCGCGUGUGAUGGAUGGCCGCUGAUUCAUGCUGAUGUGGGCAUUUUGAGCACAACGGGUGUUCUCAGCAGGUGAGCCAAGCGGAAACGUCUCAUAAAAAUAAGCAACUUUUGGGAAUUCAUGUACUUAAUAAAUUUUUGCUGUGCAUACUCAUAUUAGUACCUACUUAACUAUUUUUUUAAUGGAGGGCAAUAAAUUUACGAAUUAUUGAAUAUGUUGGCGAUGUAAUAGUUAACAUUUUGUAAUGUAUUCACGGUUUAAAAUGGGGUUCCAAUUAUAAUUAUCCAUCAAUCCUAAAGAGCAAUCUGCCUUUAAAAUUUCAAUUCUGAUUUUUACUUUAUGAAUAUUAAUUGGAUUUAAGUAUAUAAUUGUCGUCACCUACUGGUAUAAUAUCUAGAAUACUACGAAUAUUGUAUGAUUAAGAUUAGACACGCUAAUUUUGUAUAGAAGGAGACGUCAGCUGUGACGCAUGGGACACAUCGUUGUUUGAUAUUUGUUCUGCAUUUUAAUUAAGCUGAAAUUAAACUUUUGGUAUUGUAACAAGAAUGAUGUCAAAGAUGUUUUCAAAAACACACUAAUUUAAAACUGAAAAAGGCAUUUUACUCAUGUAAAUGUACUAGUUUAAAGUGAUGUAAUAGGGGUACUUGUUACUUAGAGUCAUAAUUUUUAGUGAAAGAGUUCUGAUUGUAAAGGAAAUCAACUUUCAUGAGCUCCGUUAGGUGUGUUUGAUCUUUCAAUAAUUCUUGACUGCCUCGACGUAGAGAUACGGUUUUGGUAUCAUUGUUUAGCUUAACUCAAAUACUUUUAAAAUAAUAC